CGAAGGGGCUAGCGUUGUUCGGAAUUACUGGGGCGUAAAAGCGCACGUAGGCGGAUAUUUAAGUCGGGGGUGAAAUCCCGGGGCUCAACCCCGGAACUGCCUUCGAUACUGGGUAUCUUGAGUUCGGAAGAGGUGAGUGGAAUUGCGAGUGUAGAGGUGAAAUUCGUAGAUAUUCGCAGGAACACCAGUGGCGAAGGCGGCUCACUGGUCCGAUACUGACGCUGAGGUGCGAAAGCGUGGGGAGCAAACAGGAUU
rnacentral:rRNA from 1 species